rnacentral:tRNA from 1 species
AGCCAUGUGGCCUAAUGGAUAAGGUAUUUGACUUCAGCUCAGAAGAUUAUAGGUUUGAGUCUUGCUGUGGUUG